CCUACGGGUGGCAGCAGUGAGGAAUAUUGGUCAAUGGGAGAGAUCCUGAACCAGCCAAGCCGCGUGAGGGAAGACGGCCCUAUGGGUUGUAAACCUCUUUUGUCGGAGAACAAAACCCCGGACGUGUCCCGGAAUGCGUGUAUCCGAAGAAAAAGCAUAGGCUAACUCCGUGCUAGCAGCCGCGGUAAUACGGAGGAGGCGAGAGUUAUCCGGAUUUAGUGGGUGUAAAGGGUGAGUAGGCGGUCCGUUAAGUCAGCGGUAAAAUUGCGGGGCUCAACCCCGUCGAGCCGUGGAAACUGGCAGACUUGAGUUGGCGAGAGGUACGCGGAAUGCGCGGUGUAGCGGUGAAAUGCAUAGAUAUCGCGCAGACCUCCGAUUGCGAAGGCAGCGUACCGGCGCCAGACUGACGCUGAGGCACGAAAGCGUGGGGAUCGAACAGGAUUAGAUACCCUUGUAGUC
rnacentral:rRNA from 1 species